GCCGCAAGCAACAUCAGUGGGGCAACAUCAGAGAUCCGACGACAAUACGUCAUCGGAGGCCUUGAAAAUUCUGUAAAGCAAGCCUUGAAAGAAAGAGAACGGUUGCGAAAGCAGAAACAGUGAACCCGUUUGAACAGAUUUGACAUGUAUUACAAUGAUUCGUAGCAAUCACUUAGCGUAUACGUCAUUCUGGGUCAUGGUGUGACUUCAGCUCCUUGGCACUCGGACGCAGCACAGUACAACAGAGAACUGUAUGGGGACACCACACAGUACUUUACAAGAAGUGUUGAAAGGAAUAAGUUGCGGUAGUAACUGGGGUCUAGCAGGGAUGGGAAAUAGUUAACCACAUGUAGUUAAACUAGCGGUAGUUAACUACAUGUGGGAAUAUAAUUAGAACUAUCUAAUUCCGCUUAAUUUCCCUGCAGUAAACUCGCGUGCUAGGCUACUGCAGGCUAAAACUACUUCCUAUUUUGCAUCAUUGCCUUCGGCUUACUCAAUGGCAGUGGCUCAGUGACACCAAAUCUGGGCAGUAUUCUCCGUAACAGAUUAGGUCAUUGUGAACUUUUUGGGUGCAUACGUAGUGUCUUCUGUGCUGCAGGGCUGUGCUCAGAACUUUUACUUUAUGGAGUUCAUCCUCCAGCAAGCCUGCAUCUACGCCAUUUUGUCUGUGCUGCAGCUUUGAAAGUUCCACACAUACUGAACAAUCAAAAUACCGCUGCUUCCACUGAUAUCUGGAAUAGGCUCGGACACGCUUACAUAUAGGUAGAAAGACGUAUCCCACUUUUGUCACCCACUGUUUCACCUUGUAUCGGCUGAGUACAGGGCAUGGCCCUGAUAUAGAGUAAAGCAUGUCUUUGCGCUGAGUUCAUUUCUGCAUUCAUCCCCAAUCUAAUUCUGAGAAAUAUCCAUUAUGAUCGUAUGUACUCAAUGCGAUCACCUUAUGAAAGGUGUAGGAAGUUAUAGAAACUCCAGCUUGGACAUAUCCAAUUGUCAAAUGAAAAAUCAAGAAUUUCCUAAAGCAGGGUCAUCUUGCAUGCAUCUCUGUCACAAAUUUUUGUUCAGAUUCCAGUACACCUACACCUAGGCAAGGAAGCAAGAGGUGCAUGAACUUGUAAGCAGUUGUAAGAGAAUAUAUCCAGUCUCGUGCUUUACGAGACAAACCUCUUCGUAGAGGAUCUGACACAGAAAUAAAAUGCAAUGCUCCGGCUAUGUUCAUGGCUAUAGUCUUGGACCUCCUUGAGGACAUUGCGAAGUUGGCAGAAUGGCACAACAAUUAUGGUGACUGGCUGUUUCCAGAUGGUGGAGGUAUAGAGACAAAGAGACACUGAGUAUUUCUUGGGCUUUCUCGAGGAAUGUCCGAGACGAGACGCGGUAUGCACAGUUUGGCAGGACCAAUGGCGCAAAAGGAGUAUGACAUCAAGAUUUUGUUGCAGCUGCAUUUGGUAGAGGUUUGUGGCACAUGCAUGCCUGUCACCUGUGUCUUUUUGUUUUUUGUGUUUGGCUGUCACACGCGCGUAGAGCUUGUACGUGCCUGCCCGUUGUGUACUUCUGCGUGUCAUGUCCUGUCAUGUUCAUUUCUUUUUCAUGUCAUGUGUGUCAUGUACUAAAAAUAUCUCGGUGCGAGAUAUGGCACAUAUAAAAAUCUGUAGUCAUAGCUCGUGGCGUCAUGGCUUAUAUGUUGGCUGGCUUUGAACUUGAUGUCAUAUCCCUUAAUAUACAGUAAGACGGUGGUUGUGUUACAUUCACAGAGUAUUUUUGCCUUUUUUGUGUGUGUUUUGGGCUUCAUCAAUGGAACGGAAGUGAAACUUGCCACAGUGUUUCAUAGAUGAUUUGUGAAUAGAUGAAUUUUCAACAGGUUUUUUACGCUACGUACAAUAACAUAUCAACGUAAUUGUACACCUAGUGGAAGAGCUGGAAAUGUUCAGGCUAGUCAAAUGAGAAUCGUGCACGGAAGGUUACGUGUGUGAUUGUGUUUUGGUAGUUGCAAUUUUUUUACACUGCACAUGACAAUGUGUGCAAAUGAGGAAAUGAGUGUGUAAUAUUUUGGAGGACAUGUUACACAUGGGGGUUGUUGGAAGCAGUCGUCUCAUUGUGAUUUGAUGAUUUCUCCUGAAAAAAGAUAAAGCAACAUGAAAGAUAGCAUCCAUCAAAACAGGGCACAGAAUAAAAUGGCCAAAGUACAGCCUGCCUUCUUUAUCUGAGACCUGCCUAUCUAAUGAAAAAUUUGUUUUCAUCUGCUCAUAUUUGCUGGACAGACGAGAAAACAUUAUGGGCAGGGGCAGAUCUAGGUGGGGGUGAUGGUGUGGAUGGCUCCCCCCUCCCCCUUCUCAAUUCUGUCAUCACCGACUACUUCAAUUGGUGUUAGGCAGCGUAUGAGUAGCAUGCCGUCCUAGAUUACACACAGUGAUUUAUUGGGACCCCCCCCCCCCCCCCCCCGUCGUCACCACCACCACCUACUCCCCAUAAAUGUGUGGUAGCACCCCUAUGUUUGCCUGCAUGUCCCCUACAGGAGCACCUUUGUUAUUUCAUAUAACUGCAAAAAUGACCCCCACACCCAAACCUUUUGCAAUACCCUCCCCCCCCCCCUGUGGUCGCGAUUCUGGAUAAACCGCGAGCCGGAACCCCCCCCCCCCCCCCCCCCAAAGGAAUAGUGGAUCCGCCCACAAACACGAGUCAUUAAUCUUCUUUUUUUAGCACCUUGAAAGCGAAUGAUAAAGGAAGAACAGACAAUAAAAGUUUAGCAACGAGAACACUGUCAGUACCUUUCCUUCGUGCGACUUGGUAGCCACAGCCGAGCGGGUGACACAAGGGGAAGGAGUGCUCUGUGACGUGUGCGCUUUUGCAGCUUCCACGUAGUGAGGGACUAUAUGGCGGAAGGACACAAAAAAUUAAGCGAUGCAACGGGCGCCCCCCGGCGGUCUCGUACUUACAGUAUGUCCUUUGUCUGUAGAUAUUACUCACACCAGAAGCUGCAGCACCAGCAUCGCUAUUACCUGUAGCAAGCUCUUGGAGGUUUUCAGCAUUGGAGCCCGAAUGUUGCUGUUUUCGGAGAGCAAGUUGUCUGCAAUGACACAAAAGGCACAGAGGCAAGGACAUGAAGAAGAAGGCAAAAUGGGGGACGGGACAGGGAUGGGGUAUUGCGAUUUUUGUUUUUCAUACUUGUAAAUAAACUUUGAUUAAAGGGGCA